CAAUUGGGGGAUGGCUCGGCUCGAGAGCCGACGAAGGUCGUGACAAGCUGCGAUAAGUCGCGGGGAGAGGCAUGAAUCUCUUUGAUCCGCGAAUUGCCGAAUUGGACCUCCUGACAUAUGUCAUUCCUCGUUUUAACAACGUAGGAAAGGGAACCCCCCGAACUGAAGCAUCUCAGUAGGGGGAGGAAAAGAAAUCAAUAGAAAUUCCGUGAGUAGUGGCGAAUGAAAACGGAAUAGGACAAACCGAAUCUCCUUGGGAAACCUUGGAGAGAUGUGGAGUAUGGACACUAGUAGCCUUAGUCCGGGAAGUAGAAGUCGUCCUGGAACGGCGCACCAAAGAGGGUGAAAGUCCCGUAUACGUGCCGGAUAUGGCCAUGUAGUGGAUCCUGAGUAGCGUGCGUUGGAUAUCGCGCGUGAAUAUGGGAGGCAUAGACUUCCAAUCCUAAAUACUACUCGAGACCGAUAGUUGACAAGUAGCGUGAGCGAAAGCUGAAAAGUAUCCUUAGCGGGAUGUGAAAAGAACCUGAAACCAAUUGGGAACAAGCUGAAUAGGCGUGAAAGCGAAGAUAUGAGCAGCGUCUAUUCGUGCGUUUCGAAAAAUGCUCCUGGGAGUUCUGAUCAUUGGCGAGGUUAAGCAGUAUAUCUGCGAAGCCGUAGGGAAACCGAAUAGUCCGCAGCCGCAAGGCGAGGGACUGGGUGUGCUCGCCCGGAGUCAAUGGUGGGAGACCUGAAGCCCGUCGAUCUAUGCCUGACCAGAUUGAAGCCCGACGAAAGUUGGGUGGAGGAUCAAACCGUUGCUGAUGUGCAAAUCGCUCGGACGAGUUUGGUAUAGGGGUGAAAGUCCAAUCGAGAUGGGCAAUAGCAGGUUCCGCGCGAGACUACUCGUAGGUAGAUCUCUGUGGAGGUAGAAUGCGAUGUAGAGCACUGAUUGUAUGUUUAGGGGGAGCAAUCCCUCGGCACGCUGUCAAACUCCGAAUUUGUGUUCGCCGUAGAAGCAGGGAGUGAGCCACGGUGGGUAAGCUACCGUGACGAAAGGUGAAUAAACCAGCUCAGCGUUAAGGUCCCAAAAUUUCAGUUAAGUGUUAAUCACAAACGGCGUCCGUGGCCGAAGACAACCAGAAGGUGGGCUUAGAAGCAGCCAUCCUUGAAAGAGUUCGUAACAGAUCACUGGUCAAGUUUGCGGGCCCGAAAAAUGGACGGGGCUCAAACUGAAUACCGAUACGCUGACCCUUCGAAAGAAGAUGGGGUAGCGCGGCGAUGUGCUCGGGUAGAAGCGAGGUCGUAAGGUCUCGUGGACCGUGUACAUAUGAGAAUCCAGGAAAGAGUAGCAGCAUAGUGUGGUGAGAAUCCGCACCACCGAAGGGGUAAGGGUUCCUCGGCAAUGUUUUUCAGCCGAGGGUUAGUCGGUCCUAAGGGCAUUCUUAACCGAAAUGUCCGAAUGGGAAAUGCGUUAAUAUUCGUAUACCCCUCUACAAUAAAUGGUGACGGCUCGGGCUAGUUCGUGCAUUCCUGUCAUGGGAUGUCGAAGCGUUCGAUAACCGAUCGGAGAACCGUCAUGGUGAGAAGAUCGGGAAGGCGUGAGCAAAAGACGAAUGAUGCCUGGGUCCCAUGAAAAGCCGUAGAGGUGACCGUACCUAGAACUGACACAGGUACCCAAGGUGAGUAGCCUAAGGUGUGACGGGCAAAGUACCGCGAAGGAACUCGGCAAAAUCGCUCUGUAACUUCGGGAGAAGGAGUGCCAGCUUAGAGAUAAGCUGGUCGCAGUGACCAGGGGACUCCGACUGUUUAAUAAAAACAUAGGCGACUGCUAGAUCGAAAGGUUGUGUAUAGUCGCUGAAUCCUGCUCAGUGCUGGUAUCUGAAAUCGGGUUACAACCUGACGAAGGACCAGUAAACAGCGGGGGUAACUAUGACCCUCUUAAGGUAGCGUAAUACCUUGUCGCUUAAUUGGCGACUUGCAUGAAUGG
rnacentral:rRNA from 1 species